rnacentral:tRNA from 1 species
AUCCGUGCAGCUCAGUUGGUAGAGCGCCCGCCCAUUAUGCGAGUUUACGCAGGUUCGAUUCCCACGGUUG